ACCCGCUGAACUUAAGCAUAUCAAUAAGCGGAGGAAAAGAAACCAACAGGGAUUGCCCUAGUAACGGCGAGUGAAGCGGCAAGAGCUCAAAUUUGAAAUCUGGCCCUCUCAGGGUCCGAGUUGUAAUUUGUAGAGGGCGCUUUGGCGUCGGCCCCGGCCUAAGUUCCUUGGAACAGGACGUCACAGAGGGUGAGAAUCCCGUACGUGGCCGCCGGCCUUCGCCGUGUAAAGCCCCUUCGACGAGUCGAGUUGUUUGGGAAUGCAGCUCUAAAUGGGAGGUAAAUUUCUUCUAAAGCUAAAUACUGGCCAGAGACCGAUAGCGCACAAGUAGAGUGAUCGAAAGAUGAAAAGCACUUUGGAAAGAGAGUCAAAAAGCACGUGAAAUUGUUGAAAGGGAAGCGCUUGCAGCCAGACUUGCCUGUAGUUGCUCACCCGAGCCAUCGGCUCGGUGCACUCUUCUGCGGGCAGGCCAGCAUCAGUCCGGGCGGUCGGAUAAAGGCCUCGGGAAUGUAGCUCCCCUCGGGGAGUGUUAUAGCCCGGGGUGCCAUGCGACCAGCCUGGACUGAGGUCCGCGCAUCUGCUAGGAUGCUGGCGUAAUGGCUGUAAGCGGCCCGUCUUGAAACACGG
rnacentral:rRNA from 1 species